rnacentral:rRNA from 1 species
AUACGUAGGGGGCGAGCGUUGUCCGGAAUGAUUGGGCGUAAAGGGCGCGUAGGCGGCCCGGUAAGUCUGGAGUGAAAGUCCUGCUUUUAAGGUGGGAAUUGCUUUGGAUACUGUCGGGCUUGAGUGCAGGAGAGGUAAGUGGAAUUCCCAGUGUAGCGGUGAAAUGCGUAGAGAUUGGGAGGAACACCAGUGGCGAAGGCGACUUACUGGACUGUAACUGACGCUGAGGCGCGAAAGUGUGGGGAGCAAACAGGAUUAGAUACCCUGGUAGUCCACACUGUAAACGAUGAAUGCUAGGUGUAGGGGGUAUCGACCCCUUCUGUGCCGCAGUUAACACAAUAAGCAUUCCGCCUGGGAGUACGGCCGCAAGGUUGAAACUCAAAGGAAUUGACGGGG